rnacentral:lncRNA from 1 species
GGCAUCAAGGAAAAUGUUUGACACAAAAGAUUCUGAAGAAGAAGCCAAAGAAGGGAUCAAAGAAUGCCAAGCCUAUUAUUAAGACGGAACAAUGCGAAAGUUUCUUCAACUUCUUUAGUCCACCUCAAGUUCCAGACGACGAAGAGGAUAUUGAUGAAGAGGCUGUAAGUAUUUCAUUUUCUUCACGUGUUAAUUUUUCUCGAGGUUAUGAUGAAGAUGCUGUGAGUGUGUGUUUUGUUUCGAGGCUUAAUUUGAACGACAUUUUCUCGUUACUUCUUGGACAGGCUGAAGAACUUCAAAGUUUGAUGGAACAAGACUAUGAUAUUGGGUAUGUUGAUAUGAAAAUAUCAAUUCGCAUGACCAUGAUAAUAACUUCCAUUUAAAGUGAAUAUGGUACCAUCCAGAAUAUAAAUUACUCGAGGAAGAUGAUGUUGAAGAAUCUGUACUUGCUCAAUUUCAAACUGUUUAUUUAAUUGCUGAGAUUCAUAUCCUAACUGUCUAUGCAGAUCAACUAUCCGUGAUAAGAUUAUCCCCCAUGCCGUUUCUUGGUUCACUGGGGAAGCUGCCGAAGAUGAUUUUGCUGACUUGGAAGAUGAGGAUGAUGACGACGAGGACGACGAGGAUGAUGAAGAGGAUGAGGACGACGAGGAUGAUGAAGAGGAUGACGACGAUGAGGAUGAAGAUGAGAGCGGGA